rnacentral:tRNA from 1 species
AGCCCGUGGGUGUGACGGAUUGCAUCUCAGCUUACGAAGCUGGUGGACCGGGUUCAAUUCCUGGACGGGCUA